GAUGAACGCUGGCGGCGUGCCUAAUACAUGCAAGUCGAGCGAACAGAUAAGGAGCUUGCUCCUUUGAAGUUAGCGGCGGACGGGUGAGUAACACGUGGGUAACCUACCUAUAAGACUGGGAUAACUUCGGGAAACCGGAGCUAAUACCGGAUAACAUUUAGAACCGCAUGGUUCUAAAGUGAAAGAUGGUUUUGCUAUCACUUAUAGAUGGACCCGCGCCGUAUUAGCUAGUUGGUAAGGUAACGGCUUACCAAGGCGACGAUACGUAGCCGACCUGAGAGGGUGAUCGGCCACACUGGAACUGAGACACGGUCCAGACUCCUACGGGAGGCAGCAGUAGGGAAUCUUCCGCAAUGGGCGAAAGCCUGACGGAGCAACGCCGCGUGAGUGAUGAAGGGUUUCGGCUCGUAAAACUCUGUUAUUAGGGAAGAACAAAUGUGUAAGUAACUGUGCACAUCUUGACGGUACCUAAUCAGAAAGCCACGGCUAACUACGUGCCAGCAGCCGCGGUAAUACGUAGGUGGCAAGCGUUAUCCGGAAUUAUUGGGCGUAAAGCGCGCGUAGGCGGUUUCUUAAGUCUGAUGUGAAAGCCCACGGCUCAACCGUGGAGGGUCAUUGGAAACUGGGAAACUUGAGUGCAGAAGAGGAAAGUGGAAUUCCAUGUGUAGCGGUGAAAUGCCCAGAGAUAUGGAGGAACACCAGUGGCGAAGGCGACUUUCUGGUCUGUAACUGACCCUGAUGUGCGAAAGCGUGGGGAUCAAACAGGAUUAGAUACCCCUGGUAGUCCACGCCGUAAACGAUGAGUGCUAAGUGUUAGGGGGUUUCCGCCCCCUUAGUGCUGCAGCUAACGCAUUAAGCACUCCGCCUGGGGAGUACGACCGCAAGGUUGAAACUCAAAGGAAUUGACGGGGACCCGCACAAGCGGUGGAGCAUGUGGUUUAAUUCGAAGCAACGCGAAGAACCUUACCAAAUCUUGACAUCCUUUGAAAACUCUAGAGAUAGAGCCUUCCCCUUCGGGGGACAAAGUGACAGGUGGUGCAUGGUUGUCGUCAGCUCGUGUCGUGAGAUGUUGGGUUAAGUCCCGCAACGAGCGCAACCCUUAAGCUUAGUUGCCAUCAUUAAGUUGGGCACUCUAGGUUGACUGCCGGUGACAAACCGGAGGAAGGUGGGGAUGACGUCAAAUCAUCAUGCCCCUUAUGAUUUGGGCUACACACGUGCUACAAUGGACAAUACAAAGGGCAGCUAAACCGCGAGAUCAUGCAAAUCCCAUAAAGUUGUUCUCAGUUCGGAUUGUAGUCUGCAACUCGACUACAUGAAGCUGGAAUCGCUAGUAAUCGUAGAUCAGCAUGCUACGGUGAAUACGUUCCCGGGUCU
rnacentral:rRNA from 1 species